rnacentral:misc_RNA from 1 species
GGGCAUUAUGUUCCGCAGCUAUCUCAACUUGUCUACCAGAGGAACAAGGGAAUCAAGAACCCAAUUAUAAAUUUCAAGGGCUUUAUGGUUGGAAAUGCUGUUACCGAUGAUUACCAUGACUAUGUUGGCACGUUCGAGUACUGGUGGACUCAUGGCUUGAUUUCGGAUUCUACAUACAAGCUUCUCCAGAUAACAUGUGACACAGGAUCGUCUGAACAUCCUUCCACUGAUUGUACUAAAGCUCUUCUUCUUGCAGAUCAUGAGCAGGGAAAUAUUGACCCAUAUAGCAUAUAUACUCGUCCUUGUGCCAGUACUAAUGCACUUCACCGCAACCUAAGGGGUCAUUAUCCAUGGAUGU